GCCUGGGCAGCGCACGGAGGAUGAGCUGGAGCUGAUCUUUGAGGAGCUGCUGCACAUCAAGGCCGUGGCUCAUCUCUCCAACUCGGUGAAGCGGGAAUUGGCCUCGGUGCUGAUGUUCGAGUCCCACGAGCGCGCGGGAACCGUCCUGUUCAGCCAGGGGGACAAGGGCACCUCGUGGUACAUCAUCUGGAAGGGCUCCGCUAAUGUCGUC